AUUGAACGCUGGCGGCAGGCCUAACACAUGCAAGUCGCGCGAGCGGCGGACGGGUGAGUAAUGUAUGGGGAUCUGCCUGAUGGCGGGGGAUAACUACUGGAAACGGUAGCUAAUACCGCAUAACAUCAGAUGAACCCAUAUGGGAUUAGCUGGUAGGUGGGUGAAAGGCUCACCUAGGCGACGAUCCCUAGCUGGUCUGAGAGGAUGAUCAGCCACACUGCAACUGAGACACGGCCCGGACUCCUACGGGAGGCAGCAGUUGGGAAUAUUGCACAAUGGGCGCAAGCCUGAGGCAGCCAUGCCGCGUGUAUGAAGAAGGCCGUCGGUUUGUAAAGUACUUUCAGUCGGGAGGCGUUACCGACAGAAUAAGCACCGGCUAACUCCGUGCCAGCAGCCGCGGUAAUUC
rnacentral:rRNA from 1 species